AAAGUUUGACAGACAAUCGCUGGUGACUUGGUCACGAGAGGAAAGUCCGGGCUCCAUAGGGCAGGGUGCUGGAUAAUGUCCAGUCAGCGCGAGCUGAAGGAUAGUGCCACAGAAAUGGACCGCCGAUGGCUGCUUCGGCAGCACAGGCAAGGGUGGAACCGUGGUGUAAGAGACCACGAGGAGCGUUGGUGACUUCGUUCCUGGUAAACCCCAUCUGGAGCAAGACCUAAUGAGAUGCAUGCCCGCAAGGGCAGCCUUAGCCCGAGGUGCGUCUGGGUUGGUCGCUUGAACCGUGCAGCAAUGUACGGUCUAGAUAGAUGAUUGUCACUUCGUAGUGGAAGGGUAGCUCCCGUAAUACCACGAUCAGUACAGAACCCGGCUUACGGCAAACUUUCCGG
rnacentral:RNase_P_RNA from 1 species